ensembl:lncRNA
AGGGGGAAAAGGGGCGUGGCCUUAACACCAGUGCUAAUCACAUGACCCCUCCUUUUAACUCCAAAUAAGGGAAAAGGGGCGUGGCCUCAACACCCACCUCAAUCACAUGACCCCUCCUUUUAACCCCUAAUAAGGGAAAAGGGGCGUGGCCUUAACACCCCAUGUCAAUCACGUGACCCCUCCUAUAAACCCCAAAUAAGGGGAAAAGGGGCGUGGCCUCAACACCCACCUCAAUCACAUGACCUCUCCUUUUAACCCCUAAUAAGGAAAAAGGGGUGUGGCCUAACCACCCAAUCACAUGACCCCUCCUUCUAACCCCUAAUAAGGAAAAGGGGGCGUGGCCUAACCACCCAAUCAGGAACAGGGGGCGUGGCCAGAUGUGGGGAAAAGGGGGCGGGGAUUCAAUCCGACCAAUGGGAAGGCGCGAGGGGGGCGGGACCUUACCCGGUGGGCGGGGCCGGCGAGGGCGGGGCGGAGUCGGAAGAGCUGGAACUGGAGUCGGAGUCGGAGUCGGAGUCGGACGAGGAGGAGGAGGAGGAGGAGGAGGAGCUCGAGGAGGAGGAGGAGGAGCUCUUGGUGACGUCAGCGGUGACGUCAGCGGUGGGCGGGGCCGCGCUGGGAACGGUGGCGCUGGGAGCACUGGGAGCCGCUGGAACCGUCGUACUGGUGUUACUGGUUAUACUGGGAGCUGCUGGGACUGUUGUACUGGUGUUACUGGGAGCACUGGGAGCCGCGGGAACGGUUGUACUGGUGUUACUGGUGAUACUGGGAGCACUGGGAGCCGCAGGUUUGAUGGUACUGGUGUUACUGGUGAUACUGGGAGCCAUGCUGGUCAUACUGGGACGAGCCGGACUGGUCAAACUGGUCACGCUGGCCGGAGCUGGACUGGUCAAACUGGUCGUGGUGGCCGGAGCUGGACUGGUCGAACUGGUCAAACUGGUUUGACUGGGACUGGUCAAACUGGGACGAGUUGGACUGGUCAAACUGGUUUGACUGGGACUGGUCAAACUGGUCACGCUGGUCGGACUCAGACUGGUCAAACUGGGACGAGUCGGACUGGUCAAACUGGUGGCGGUGGCCGGAGCUGGACUGGUCAAACUGGUCACACUGGUUGGAGCCGGACUGGUCAAACUGGGACGAGUUGGACUGGUCAUACUGGGAUGAGUCGGACUGGUCAGCUUGGUUGGACUGGUCAAACUGGUUGGAGCCGGACUGGUCAAACUGGUCACAGUGGCCGGAGCCGGACUGGUCACUCCAGUCACACCAGUGGCCUUCUGAGUGCUGGUCAAACUGGUCAAACUGGUUUGACUGGGACUGGUCAAACUGGUCAUACUGGUUUGACUCGGACUGGUCGCACUGGGACGAGUUGGACUGGUCAAACUGGUCUGACUCGCACUGGUCAAACUGGUCACGGUGGCCGGAGCUGGACUGGUCAAACUGGUGGUGGUGGCCAGAGUUGAACUGGUCAUACUGGUUUGACUCGGACUGGUCAAACUGGGACGAGUUGGACUGGUCAAACUGGUCACGGUGGCCGGAGCUGAACUGGUCAAACUGGUCACAGUGGCCGGAGCUGAACUGGUCAAACUGGUCACACUGGAUGGAGCCGGACUGGUCAAACUGGGACGAGUCGGACUGGUCAAACUGGUCACGGUGGCCGGAGCUGGACUGGUCAAACUGGUCACAGUGGCCGGAGCCGGACUGGUCAAACUGGUGGCACUGGUCUGACUCGGACUGGUCAAACUGGUGGCGGUGGCCGGAGCU